rnacentral:rRNA from 1 species
AUUGAACGCUGGCGGCAGGCCUAACACAUGCAAGUCGAACGAGUGGCGGACGGGUGAGUAAUGUCUGUGAAACUGCCUGAUGGAGGGGGAUAACUACUGGAAACGGUAGCUAAUACCGCAUACCAUCGGAUGUGCCCAGAUGGGAUUAGCUAGUAAGUGAGGUAACGGCUCACCUAGGCGACGCUCCCUAGCUGGUCUACGAGGAUGACAAGCAACACUGUAACUGAGAGACGGUCCAGACUCCUACGGAGGGCAGAGGUGGGGAAUAUUGCACAAUGGGCGAGAGCCUGAUGCAGCGAUGCCGCGUGUAUGAAGAAGGCCUUCGGGUUGUAAAGUACUUUCAGCGGGAAGGCGUUACCCGCAGAAGAAGCGCCGGCUAACUCCGUGCCAGCAGCCGCGGUAAUAC